UCGGGAAUUUUGGGCAAUGGGCGAAAGCCUGACCCAGCAACGCCGCGUGAAGGAUGAAGUAUUUCGGUAUGUAAACUUCGAAAGAAUAGGAAGAAUAAAUGACGGUACUAUUUAUAAGGUCCGGCUAACUACGUGCCAGCAGCCGCGGUAAUACGUAGGGACCAAGCGUUGUUCGGAUUUACUGGGCGUAAAGGGCGCGUAGGCGGUGCGGUAAGUCACUUGUGAAAUCUCCGAGCUUAACUCGGAACGGCCAAGUGAUACUGCAGUACUAGAGUGCGGAAGGGGCAAUCGGAAUUCUUGGUGUAGCGGUGAAAUGCGUAGAUAUCAAGAGGAACACCUGAGGUGAAGACGGGUUGCUGGGCUGACACUGACGCUGAGGCGCGAAAGCCAGGGGAGCAAACGGGAUUAGAUACCCGUGUAGUCCCUGAGCGGGCUGGCAAGGCGCAU
rnacentral:rRNA from 1 species